CUCCGCGUGCGCGUGAGUCCGUUAGUCUUCGCCUCGGCGCGUGAACGGCACAAGUAGCGUUUGUCCUGCGGACUUUACAAGGACAUACGAACCCAACUAUCGCAAGGUCUAAUAAUGAAAAGUGAGGCUAGCCAGGCCCAGCACGUCUGCCUCACUGAGGGCAUGCAGCUCAUUUUUGACCAGGUUGCCACAGCAACACCCAACUCCUCUGGCUCACGGAGUCGCAGCAGUAGCAGUGACAGUUCUUACACCAGCAGCGAGAGUAGCUGCUCCUCCCAUAGGUCACAUCAUCGCCAACCUCGCCACCGGUCCUCUUCCUCUUCAUCUCGCACACGGUCUCGCUCUCAUCCCCGCUGUCACCGGGCUUCAGGUCGCUCCUGCAGUCGGCACCGGUGCCGGGCCCAGUCUAGGUCGUACAGCCCGUCUCCGGACUGCCCGUCCCAUGGCAGGUACAGGAGACGGUCUCCCUCCAGCACCCACUCCUCUCGGCAGCGCCGAUCACAACGGAGGUCCCGCUCACGCUCAUCCAGCUACAGGAGAGGCACUCAUGGGUUUGUGGGGCGCUACAGGUGCAGAUUCUCCCCUUCCUCCAGGAAGAGCUACAGAGAUUACAGGAAAAGAUCAAGAUCUCCGGAGUACUCUGCUGUUCGCCUCAGCCAGAAGGAAAAAAUAGAUCUUCUGAACAUAGCUAAAGAGAAUGCUGCUAAGGUACUGGGAGUGAGGCCAGUGGAGCUGCCUGCCAGCAUUAGCUCUGUGCAGCAGAAACCAGACUGUACCAUUGAUGAUGGGGUGAGAGCAGACAGCCAGCCAAUGAAACGACAGGUGAGUGGAGAACAUGCACAUGCUCCCCCUUAUGUAACCAGAGGUCAAGAAUGCAGAGUUAACCUGUAGUGACAGAAGGGCCGAGAGUCUUUGGAGAGGCCUGGCUGGGAGAUGGUGACUAAAUUAAUAGAAGGAUGAUGAAGAGCUGUCCAGGCAUAGCCUGCAUGUAGCCUUGCACAGUUAGAUGAGGAUUUUGCUUGAUUAACUGUGAGCUUUGGACUUCAUGAAAAUAGGCUGUGUCAAUAAAGAGCCGGGGUUCAUCUUGUACAUUAUCUCCUCAGACAUGAUUAAUGGAAACCUGAUGAAGGCAAAAAAUACUUCUCCAGCAACUACGUUUGGUAAUGUCUGGAUUAGAUCACAUGACAGUGGUCUCCACUCCUCCAGCCCUGGGAGUAGGAGAGACAUCAUUGGGUUUUCAAGGUUUUAAAACUAAAGUCUCACAAAGGUCAAGUAACGUCAGUGCAAAUACUAGUGCAUUGUCUUUCUUACUUAGUAUAUUACUUGCACAAUUUAGUUUUUUACUGCCACAAUAUAGUACAGAGUGUAAUACGUAUUCAUUUUCAUAUGUACUCGUACAAGACAUGUAAUGGCCUCUACAAAUAAACUGCAGGACCUUGACGAUGUAAAACUGUUGAUGGUUGAACUGGGUGCAUUGUUAUUUACCAGAGUCGUCUUCAUUUCCAUGUGUCUGAAGAAACUCAGGCCUACGGACUGGCUAUUAGUGGCCCAUAAAUGAGAAGAGCAGACCCUCCCCUUCUGUCCUGGUUAACCAAGCUUGUUCACAGAACGCUGGAUUGGGUUUGGAAAAGGAAACAACCUUUCAGAAUUCCACUCAGACACGGACUCUGUCUUGUCUUUUUCCUUUUUUUUUCCCCUUUCAUGUGUUUAAUUUUUUGAUCUGUACAUUAGAAAUUAUUUAGUUUGUGUCUGAUGGCAGCUCAAAACACUUGAAUGAGAAACGUGUACCUACAUAGACAGUACAGUGUCUGUCACCACUUAGGAAGGCCUUUAGACUUGAUGUCUGACUCAUUUCCUCAUGCACGUAAAAAGUUCAGUUUGAAAGGCAAAUGUAAUGAAAUGAUUGAG